AAGUCGUAACAAGGUUUCCGUAGGUGAACCUGCGGAAGGAUCAUUAACACUACUAUUUGUGCUGGCCGCCGCUCGGCGAGUCUAUCGUCGUUCGGUCGUGCCUCACAUCUACUAUCCACCCGUGGUUCUGUUUUGUACCUUUGCCGGAAGGCGAAGGCUUAUCCACUCGAUCGCUGAGCUCUUCCUCUCGUCGGGGGAGACCAGUGGUAACGGGCGUGUAUAUUCAUAUUCACGCCCUGAGCCGUACAGGUUGAGUGGCCCAUUUUUUUCUUUCUUCUGCAUAGAAUACCUGCACUGAUUUCAUAUGCACGCGAAAGUGUGCGUAUGUUGCUGGCCCUCGUGGUCAGUAAACCAUAUACAACUCGUAACAACGGAUAUCUCGGCUAAC
rnacentral:misc_RNA from 1 species